GGCUCAGAGCGAACGUUAGCGGCGCGCCUAACACAUGCAAGUCGCACGAGAAAGGGCCUCGGCCCCGGUACAGUGGCGCACGGGUGAGUAACACGUGGGUAACCUUCCCAGGAGUGGUGGAUAACCUGCCGAAAGGCGGGCUAAUACAGCAUACGACCGUUGGUCUUCGGACUGGCGGUGAAAGCAGGCCUCUAUAUAUAAGCUUGCGCUCCAGGUUGGGCCCGCGGCCCAUCAGCUAGUUGGCGAGGUAAUGGCUCACCAAGGCAACGACGGGUAGCUGGUCUGAGAGGAUGGCCAGCCACACUGGAACUGAGACACGGUCCAGACUCCUACGGGAGGCAGCAGUGGGGAAUCUUGCGCAAUGGACGAAAGUCUGACGCAGCGGCGCCGCGUGGGCGACGAAGGCCUUCGGGUUGUAAAGCCCUGUGGGGAGGGACGAACACUGAUUGUUCAAAUAGGGCAGUCAGCUGACGGUACCUCCUUAGCAAGCACCGGCUAACUCUGUGCCAGCAGCCGCGGUAAGACAGAGGGUGCAAACGUUGCUCGGAAUUACUGGGCGUAAAGCGCGUGUAGGUGGCCACGCAAGUCAGGUGUGAAAGCCCAGGGCUCAACCCUGGAAGUGCACAUGAUACUACGUGGCUGGAGUACUGAAGAGGAGAGCGGAAUUCCCGGUGUAGAGGUGAAAUUCGUAGAUAUCGGGAGGAACACCAGUGGCGAAGGCGGCUCUCUGGGCAGAUACUGACACUGAGACGCGAAAGCGUGGGUAGCAAACAGGAUUAGAUACCCUGGUAGUCCACGCUGUAAACGAUGAGAACUGGGUGUCGUGGGUAUUGACCCCCGCGGUGCCCAAAGCAACGCGUUAAGUUCUCCGCCUGGGAAGUACGGCCGCAAGGCUAAAACUC
rnacentral:rRNA from 1 species